GGCCUCGUAGCUCAAGGGGAGAGCGUCUGGUUGCCGAUCGGGUGGCCGCCGGUUCGAUUCCGGCCGGGGUCGC
rnacentral:tRNA from 1 species